rnacentral:rRNA from 1 species
CUACGUGCCAGCAGCCGCGGUAAUACGUAGGUGGCAAGCGUUGUCCGGAUUUAUUGGGCGUAAAGCGAGUGCAGGCGGUUCAAUAAGUCUGAUGUGAAAGCCUUCGGCUCAACCGGAGAAUUGCAUCAGAAACUGUUGAACUUGAGUGCAGAAGAGGAGAGUGGAACUCCAUGUGUAGCGGUGGAAUGCGUAGAUAUAUGGAAGAACACCAGUGGCGAAGGCGGCUCUCUGGUCUGCAACUGACGCUGAGGCUCGAAAGCAUGGGUAGCG